CCCUUAGAUGCCCUGGGCCGCACGCGCGCUACACUGAUGCAUUCAACGAGUAUUUCCUUGGCCGAGAGGCCUGGGCAAUCUUUUAAACCUGCAUCGUGAUAGGGAUAGAUUAUUGCAAUUAUUAAUCUUGAACGAGGAAUUCCUAGUAAACGCAAAUCAUCAAUUUGCAUUGAUUACGUCCCUGCCCUUUGUACACACCGCCCGUCGCACCUACCGAUUGAAUGGUCCGGUGAAAUCUCGGGAUUGUGGCCAGUUCACUUUAUUGGGAGUUGGCUGCGAGAACUUGCUUAAACCUUAUCAUUUAGAGGAAGGUGAAGUCGUAACA
rnacentral:rRNA from 1 species